rnacentral:rRNA from 1 species
UACGGGGGGGGUAAGCGUUGUUCGGAAUUACUGGGCGUAAAGGGCUCGUAGGCGGCCAACUAAGUCGGACGUGAAAUCCCCCGGCUCAACUGGGGAACUGCACGGGAAACAGCAGGGCUUGAGUUCGGGAGAGGGAAGCGGAAUUCCGGGUGUAGCGGUGAAAUGCGUAGAUAUCCGGAGGAACACCGGUGGCGAAGGCGGCUUCCUGGACCGAUACUGACGCUGAGGCGCGAAAGCUAGGGGAGCAAACGGG